GACGAACGCUGGCGGCGUGCUUAACACAUGCAAGUCGAACGGAAAGGCCCUGCUUUUGUGGGGUGCUCGAGUGGCGAACGGGUGAGUAACACGUGAGUAACCUGCCCUUGACUUUGGGAUAACUUCAGGAAACUGGGGCUAAUACCGGAUAGGAGCUCCUGCUGCAUGGUGGGGGUUGGAAAGUUUCGGCGGUUGGGGAUGGACUCGCGGCUUAUCAGCUUGUUGGUGGGGUAGUGGCUUACCAAGGCUUUGACAGGUAGCCGGCCUGAGAGGGUGACCGGCCACAUUGGGACUGAGAUACGGCCCAGACUCCUACGGGAGGCGGCAGUGGAGAAUAUUGCACAAUGGGCGGAAGCCUGAUGCAGCAACGCCGCGUGCGGGAUGACGGCCUUCGGGUUGUAAACCGCUUUCGCCUGUGACGAAGCGUGAGUGACGGUAAUGGGUAAAGAAGCACCGGCUAACUACGUG
rnacentral:rRNA from 1 species